rfam:Ixodes scapularis strain Wikel colony gcontig_1108379814530, whole genome shotgun sequence.
GGUCUCAUGGAGUAAUGGUUAUCACUCUGGACACGGAUUCCAGCUAUCCGAGUUCAAAUCUCGGUGAGACCU